ACAGGUGUUGCAUGGCUGUCGUCAGCUCGUGUCGUGAGAUGUUCGGUUAAGUCCGCUAACGAGCGCAACCCUCGCCGUAUGUUACAAGUGUCAUACGGGACUGCCGGUAAAAAGCCGGAGGAAGGUGAGGAUGAUGUCAAGUCAGCAUGACCUUUAUAUCCAGGGCUACACACACGCUACAAUGGUCUGUACAAUUGGUUGCCAAGCCGCGAGGCGGAGCCAAUCCUGAAAGCAGGCCUCAGUUCAGAUUGCAGUCUGCAACUCGACUGCAUGAAGCCGGAGUUGCUAGUAACCGCAGGUCAGCAAUACUGCGGUGAAUACGUUCCCGGGUCUU
rnacentral:rRNA from 1 species